CCUGAGGUGGGCGGGCCCUUCUGCUGUGUGCUCCACUGUUGGAGGCAGAGCGCUUGCCCGUCAUUCUUUGCUGCUUUUCCUGGGCCUCCUGCUCACCGUGAGUUCUCAAAAGCCAGUUAGUCGCUCAAAAGCCACCCGAGUUUGAUUGUCUAUAUCUACCAUCCUAGAAUAUUCUAGACUUAGAAAAAUCAGAGAAUCAGUAUUCUUAGCAUGAGUGGUCAUAGCUCUCCCCCACACCCCUGCUGUACUGAUGACCACAGCAGCAGAAUUGUCACUCUCUAGGUACGUUCCUGCUUACCUUUUUCAGAGGGCUUAUGAGAGAGAUGGAGAAUGGGCUGUAAAUCAGCCGCUGUUGACACUGGUAGUAAUUUGGGGUUAGGAGUUGAUGAACAGAGGGACAUUUCGGGAGUAGUUUGCUUUCCAUUAAAAAAUGUUUUUAUUGUGGAUGGCAGCGGUAUAGAUAGAGGAUUGUUUAAUACAUCAGCUGUGCCCGAUGAAAAUUAUAUGAAUUACGAAGAUAAAACAAAAGGUACCAUUUUAAACCAGCGGGGAGGAGGAAGAUGAGACUAGAAGGGGGCGGGGAUGCUACUGUUCUCUCUUUCAAAGCAGCCAAUUGCUGAUGAUAAACAUGAUCAGAAAGUGGGGCGCUUUUAACAAACACAAGGACUCUGUGGCUGGCUAUGCCUCCUCUGCAUGCACAGGAGGCUGAGUUCAGAUCUCCAGCACCCACAGAAAAAUCCACACAGUGGUACAUAUCUGUGAUCUCAACACCUGAGAACGAGGAGACAGGCGGAUCCAUGGGUUUCAAUGGUCAGCCAGUCUAGCCAAGUUGGCGAGCUCUAGGUUCAGUGAGAGACUGUCUCCAAAAAGAAGGUGGAGCGCAAAUGGAAGAUUACAAACAUUACCCUUUGGACCUAUGUGCACACAGACCUGGCCCAAGGUCAGUUUUGGCUAAGAAUUGAUGGACAUCCAGAAGAAUGAACAUGAGAAUUAAUUCAUAGAAAGGAUAGGGUUAGGUUCUCAUCAGGAAGUGCGAUCAUGAAAAUACAAAAUAAUUCCAACAUAAGCACCCCCACCUCGUUUUUGUUGGAGCACAGGGUUCAAUAACUUAAGGAGCUGUUGGUGAAGAAACAUAGCUCCCAUUUCCCAAGGAAUGACAGCUUAUUCUGGAGUCAAAUGUGAAUGAUCCUGGCCUGCGUGCGAACAUGGAGCGAGGUCACUCCAGCGUCUGUGUUUCUACAUGGAGGAGAUUUCAUGAAGUUAUAUAGAAGCAGAGAAAUUAGAAAUCAAGGUGAAGUGAAAAUGCAUUGCACAGUGAUUCUCCAGGAGUUCUCACUCCCCGAGGAAAAGAAUUGUGUUGCCUCCAGCUUCAAGCUCUGUAAGACUCAGUCCCAUCAGCACAGAAGGACAACACUCCAUUGACUCUCAAGCAUGAUAUCAUAAUGUCCCAAGCUCCUGACGAGAGACAUAUUUUGCAGAAAGUGCACACUAGUGAGUCACAUGUUGCUUUCCAUGUGCUUUUUGCACUAUUCAUUGCUGUUUCUGCCAGCCUAUGAUACACAUUAACCCCCAAACUACACCUUCAAGCUCUCAAGCACCUCUGAAACUACAAAUGCUUUACUGUUAAGUAGAUGAAAUCUUGUUUUCUUUCUUCCUGUUUCUCUCUUUCUGAUUUGCUAUUGUUUAUUGGUUGGUGUGGUGGUGGUGGUGCUUAUUUUUCGAGACAGGGUUUCUCUGUGUAGCCCUGGCUGUCCUGGAACUCACUUUGUAGACCAGGCUGGCCUAGAACUUCAAAGAUCCUCCUGCCUCUACUCUACCUCUGCCUCCUGAGCGCUAGGAUUAAAGGUGUGUGCCACCAAUGCCCAACUAGAAUUUUUUUAAUUUAAUUUUUUAAAAUUUAUGUAUAUAAGUACACUGUAGCUGUCUUCAGACACACCAGGAAAUGGCAUCAGAUCCCAUUACAGAGCCACCAUGUGGUUGCUAGAAAUUGAACUCAGGACCUCUAGAAGAGCAGUCAGUGCUCUCAACUGAGCCAUCUCUCCAGCCCCCUAGAAUCUUAUUUUCAAUGGUAGUAUUGCUCAUGUAAUAGUUUAACCCAUGGAGCUAAUUUUAAUCUUGGUAGUUACUUGUCCUCUCAAGCACAUGGGUUUUCCUGGUCUAUUAUUUAUUUCCAAAUAAAUAUAAGUCCUGAGAUAAAGUCACAAAGUAUUCACUGCCUGAAAUAGCUUCUGUACUCUUAGAUCCAUGAUAGUGCCUUACCCCUAAACCUCAAGGAACACAAAUCAGGAGGAGCUUCAGGCUGUGAGUCUCACCACUAUCUCCAAACUCUAUAGAUGUAGUUGCCAGCAUAAUGGCUUACAUUUACUCAAUGCACUGGCAUAGGCAUCACAUGCUAAGACAGGAGAAAGGACUGGGGCUGUAACAGUCCAAAGCACAUGUGAGGUCCUGAGUUCAACCCACAGAGCAGCCAGAUUGGAAAAAAAAAAAAAAAAAAAAGGAAACCUGAACUCAAAGUUGCCUUGACAAUUCUCUCUCUCACACAUUCAUGUAAACAUGCAUGCAUAUUGCACACACAAACAAAAAUAGGAGACAACGUAGAUCACACAGACUUUUCUUCCAAUUGGGAACUUCAUAUUGUGGGAAGAUGAAGGUUUAAGGAAUGACACAGUUGUGACACAUUAACACACUUGAGUUGUUGCUGUUUGUGGGGCAGCCAUGAACUGAGGCAGGGGCUUGCCUUUCUGCUCCGAACUUUUUCUGGAAGCAGCUGUACAAUGGGAAGGCUGGUUUCAAACAGUCUUCAGUGUUGUUUGUUGUUGUUUUA